UGAAAUUUUUCGCUGCGGUAGUU
rnacentral:miRNA from 1 species